rfam:Trichobilharzia regenti genome assembly, scaffold: TRE_scaffold0009186
GUACUGAUGAAGAGUCCCAAACUAGGACGAAACAGUUGUCCAAUAC